AACAAACAAACAAAAAACCAUGAGAAACAAUAUUGAAGGAAAUUCCUUGUCUAGUAAAUUCUGGAGAGAGUUAGGUGGUGAAUCUCGUGCUAAUGAUGAGAGAUGAUUGCAGACUUCAGACUGAAGAUAUUAAUGUAGCUGCAUAAGGGAACCAUUUAAUUGUUGCCUUGUCUACAACAGCUAAUUUUAUUCUUUUUAAAUUUCAAGAAGUAAAGAACUUUAAGGGUGUUCUUCACACAUAUGGCAAAUUUCAGGUCAAGUGUGAAGUAGGCUGAUUUACUACUGAGAAAUACUUUGAGGGUGACUGAAAAGAGUGAAAUAGCCCAAACUAAGCACAUAAAGAAAACAAAGUAUUGUAAUUGUCAACCCUUUCAGGAAAUUUGAGCUGAGAGGAGGCUGAACAGUCUAUUGGCCUAUGACUAGCUAAUUAAGAUGCUCAACAAGUGAAUCUUUGAAAUCAGCAUUAAUGUGAAGCUGACUCAAAGAUGCUUGGUAGUAUUCCUGGUCUUACUGUGUAAUCUUAAUAAGAUCUUGUUUCAAACACUUGGAUUUAAUAGUCUCAUGCAGGGGACGUGAAAGGCUGGCUUCAAAUUUGAUGUGACCUCCUUUAAAGGAUAUGACAUAGCGAUAUCAUUAAGCCUUCAGUGAAAUGAUGUUAAAUGCCUAUUGGGUCCUGUGAUGAGCUUAGCAAUAUAAAGGUGAGGUGACAAAUCAUCUGAGUAAUUCCAAAUACAUAGUAACUUUUACUCUCUGAAAAGCUCCCUGAGGAGCUAUUAUUGAAUUCAGAAGGUACAUCCAAAGAGUAUUUAAUUAUAAGUGUAUUACAGCAAGAAAAUUCUCUUGAAUGCAUUGUUUCUGAUAUUCUGACAAUGUGUUUUAGCCUUGUUCUAUAGAUUUUUAUCUAUUUUUUCUAUGCUGAUAUCAUUACUUAUUGGUUGUUAUGUUGGUAGAGAAGGUGUGAUUGUUGUGUUUGUUUCCGUAGUAGUGAUGUUUGUUGUUUUUUAUUUGAUUCAUGUACCUUACUGAAGAUGGCAGUUGGCUAAACAGAUGAUUAUGGAUGUAUGCUUAACUGGAAGCAACCAUUUUAUGGAGGCUGAGAGAGUUUCUUUUCCAUCUCUGCUCAUUCGUUAAUCUGAGGGUGAAAGAGGAUGGAUUUUUACAAAGGCACAUAUGAGUCCUGUGCUGAAAAAGCUGAUGCAGUCUAUCUGGUUUCCAGCUCUCUAGAUAGGUCUUUGAGAAUGGCACAUCUCUCAAAGAAAAAUCACUUUGCUUAGUGUAAGUCCUAGUUACGAAGGUUUCUUAUAAGCUAAGGACUCAAAUGUGUCAGUGCUUUGGCUCUCACGGUGGCAGCUCCAGAUUUAUGGAG
rnacentral:lncRNA from 1 species